rnacentral:lncRNA from 1 species
ACUCUGGGAGGCUGUGCCUGGGCGUGCAGUCCUUCCAAGAACUGGGUCACAUUUCUAGCCAUUGCAAAAAUCUUCCACUAUUUUCAAUUCUUAGUUCUGCCAACCAUGCAAAAGAAGAGACAUUCCAAACAAAGUAUCCAACAGACAGCAACAGCAUCAUAUCUGUUUGUCCUCAUGAGGAACAAGGAAAGAUAAGGAAGAUGCAGUGCUCUGAGGGGAUGAUAGUCAGGAGUCUAAACAAGACAACCACGUACCAGAUACUUCUGUUCAGAAUGUAUUCUGCCACUCCGUCCAAAACAAGAAGUUUACAUAUAGUCAAAGACAUCUCUGAAGGUAUAGGUAUGUAUCUGAAUGUUUAAAUCCUUCCUAUUAGUU